AUCCAUCUGAUGAGUCUCAAAUAGGACGAAACAUGUGUCGAAUUGGAU
rnacentral:hammerhead_ribozyme from 1 species